UUGUAUCAAAUAUCCACAUCAAACAUUGAAAAAACAAAGGUUAGGGUUUCAAACGAGAAUUGCAGCCACUAUUCUUCAUUCUUGGCUUCUUAAAUCUUGGCUUCUUUUUUUGUUGCCUAUCAAAGACAAAGCCAGCGAUCCAUUGCAGGGGAUUUUAGUGAGUCAAGAUGAUCAAGAGAUUUUUCGAGCCGCAAACCUCUUCAAGUUCUACUUCUAGUUCUUCUUCGCUAAACUCUCAUUCAUGUACCUCGGUUCUGAACUCGGUACCUAUCCUCGUGAUAUGGCCUAUUUCGUUAUGAGGCCAUCCUUCGAUGCAAACUCC